GUUGGCUUAGAAGCAGCCAUACAUUUAAAGAGUGCGUAAUAGCUCACUGGUCGAGUGGGUCUGCGCCGAAAAUGUCCGGGGCUCAAGCUGUCAACCGAAGCCGCGGAACUCAAGUAUUGGGUUGGUAGGGGAGCGUUGCCUGCUGGUUGAAGCACGACCGUAAGGACGUGUGGACGGCAGGGAAGUGAGAAUGCCGGUAUGAGUAGCGAAAAGGCAGGUGAGAAUCCUGCCCGCCGGAAGCCUAAGGUUUCCUGAGGAAGGUUCGUCCUCUCAGGGUGAGCCGGGGCCUAAGCCGAGGCCGAAGGGCGUAGGCGAUGGAUAACGGGUUGAAAUUCCCGUGCCGCCUCGGUCGCGCUUGAGCGAAGCGGGGACGCAGAAGGGUAGGCACAGCAGGCUGAUGGAAUAGCCUGUCCAAGCGAGUAGGGCGCCGCGUAGGCAAAUCCGCGCGGCAGAGGGCCCAAGACGCGAGUGGGUGCGGAUACGUCCGCUGAACUGGCCGAUCCCAAGCUGCCAAGAAAAGCCGCUAGCGAGCGACCAGGCACCCGUACCGCAAACCGACACAGGUAGGCGAGGAGAGGAUCCUAAGGCGCGCGAGAGAACCCUCGUUAAGGAACUCGGCAAAAUGGCCCCGUAACUUAGGGAUAAGGGGCGCCCCGGUAGGGUGAAGGGCAACACGCCCGUAGCCUGAGGGGGCCGCAGUGAAACGGCCCGAGCGACUGUUUACCACAAACACAGGUCUCUGCUAAGUCGCAAGACGAAGUAUAGGGGCUGACGCCUGCCCAGUGCCGGAAGGUUAAGGGGAGGGCUUAGCGGCAACGCGAAGGUCUGAACCGAAGCCCCGGUGAACGGCGGCCGUAACUAUAACGGUCCUAAGGUAGCGAAAUUCCUUGUCGGGUAAGUUCCGACCUGCACGAAUGGCGUAACGACUUGGGCGCUGUCUCAACGAGGGGCUCGGCGAAACUGUAAGUGCACGUGAAGAUACGUGCUACCCACGACUAGACGGAAAGACCCCAUGGAGCUUUACUGCAUCCUGAGAUUGGAUUUUGGCAGGGCAUGUACAGGAUAGGUGGGAGGCUUAGAAGCAACGACGCUAGUUGUUGUGGAGCCGCCCUUGGGAUACCACCCUUGUUUUGCUGGAGUUCUAACCCGCGACCGUGAUCCGGUUGGGGGACAUUCUCAGGUGGGCAGUUUGACUGGGGCGGUCGCCUCCUAAAAGGUAACGGAGGCGCCCAAAGGUUCCCUCAGCGCGGUUAGAAAUCGCGCGCAGAGUGCAAAGGCAGAAGGGAGCUUGACUGCGAGACGUACAUGUCGAGCAGGGACGAAAGUCGGGCUUAGCGAUCAGGUGGUUCCGAGUGGAAGGGCCAUCGCUCAACGGAUAAAAGCUACCCUGGGGAUAACAGGCUUAUCU
rnacentral:rRNA from 1 species